rnacentral:lncRNA from 1 species
GUCCUCCGCCACACUGGGAGCAGCGAUGGUGGAGGUAACGUUGUGUGUGAAUGGCUAGUUUUUCGGCCACAGUCCUGCCUCUGGGUCUGUCAGCUGUUGAAGCUCAACUCGAGGACAGAGAGACACGAGCAGGUUUGCAACGUAUGAGAACUUGGUCUGAGUCCGGUUCAUCUCCGCCACGGAUCGCACCAAAAUCAGAGAUGAUCAGCCAGACGUCUGGUUUGGGCCUGAAAGACGUGCCAGACCUGCUGCCAAAGCCUUGGCCUCCACCUCACCCUGCAGACAUGGCCGCAUACACACGCAUAAUCAGGAGCUGCGAUAAUCACGCACAUCUGACAUUAGUGCUUUCAAGAAUCAGGUUGUCUCAGGAGCGAUUCAGAAGGCCUGCAGGGCUGCUGGAGUGA